GAUUUAUCUCACAAUGACACAUUCCUUUCUGGAUGGCAAGUUACAGUACCAAGCCACACAUAUCUUUGGAAACUGAACAUACUAUAUUUUAACCCAUUGAGUGGCAUUGCUCCCUGAUGCACCCUACUUUAGUAUUUUACUCUGUCUAAUGCCAGACGAUUUUACUCGUCAAGAGGAGAGCGCUGGCGCUAUGGGUUAACUGGCCUAUCUGCCUAUGUUCUAGUUAACCCAUUGAGUGGCAUUGCACCCUGAAGCACCCUACUUUAGUAUUUUACUCUGUCUAACGCCAGAUGAUUUUACUCGUCAAGAGGAGAGCGCUGGUGCUUAAUAUGGUUAACUGGCCUAUCUGCCUAUGUGUCUGUAGUUAACCCAUUGAGUGGCAUUGCACCCUGAUGCACCCUACUUUAGUAUUUUACUCUGUCUAACGCCAGACGAUUUUACUCGUCAAGGGGAGAGCGCUGGCGCUUGAUGGGUUAAUACAUGCUUCCAGAAAUUAUGUCACCUUGGCUAUAUAUAGAGUCUCAUUUUCACAAUU